rnacentral:snRNA from 1 species
GGAUGCAAGGGUGAUCUCGCUGUGACAUCUGCCACUCCACCGAGUGCCAGGGUUGAUUCGGCUGAUCUAGCUGGCCAGGCAGGCGUCCCCUUUCUCCCUCACUGCUCUAUGCGCCUCCCUCCCGAAGCUGUGCUCUCAGCUGAAGAAAAUGACCCAUCCCCAAUAGAGGAGGACUGGUCUUCAGUCAAGGGUAUAUGAGUAGCUGUACUCUCCUGACAGAACCUCCAAACAAGCUCUCAAGAUUGGUGACAAAGCUGGGUGCAGUGGCUCACGCCUGUAAUCCCAACACUUUGCAGGGCUGAGG